rnacentral:rRNA from 1 species
UCCGUAGGCGGGCUAAUAAGUCAGUGGUGAAAACCUGCAGCUUAACUGUAGAAUUGCCAUUGAUACUGUUAGUCUUGAGUACGGUCAAGGUAGGCGGAAUGUGUAAUGUAGCGGUGAAAUGCUUAGAUAUUACACAGAACACCGAUUGCGAAGGCAGCUUACUGGGCCAUUACUGACGCUGAGGCACGAAAGCGUGGGGAGCGAACAGGAUUAGAUACCCUGGUAGUCC